GAUGAACGCUGGCGGCGUGCCUAAUACAUGCAAGUCGAGCGAACGGACGAGAAGCUUGCUUCUCUGAUGUUAGCGGCGGACGGGUGAGUAACACGUGGAUAACCUACCUAUAAGACUGGGAUAACUUCGGGAAACCGUAGCUAAUACCGGAUAAUAUUUUGAACCGCAUGGUUCAAAAGUGAAAGACGGUCUUGCUGUCACUUAUAGAUGGAUCCGCGCUGCAUUAGCUAGUUGGUAAGGUAACGGCUUACCAAGGCAACGAUGCAUAGCCGACCUGAGAGGGUGAUCGGCCACACUGGAACUGAGACACGGUCCAGACUCCUACGGGAGGCAGCAGUAGGGAAUCUUCCGCAAUGGGCGAAAGCCUGACGGAGCAACGCCGCGUGAGUGAUGAAGGUCUUCGGAUCGUAAAACUCUGUUAUUAGUGAAGAACAUAUGUGUAAGUAACUGUACACAUCUUGACGGUACCUAAUCAGAAAGCCACGGCUAACUACGUG
rnacentral:rRNA from 1 species